UAUAGAGUUAUAUUUAAUGCCAAGGUUCUGAUUCUCUCCAGUGGUCCAUGAAACAGAAAAGAAGGGAAUUGUUAGCUGGAAACUAAAUAUCCACACUGACAUCUAGUGAUCACUGCCUAAUCAUAAAAAUAAAGGCACGUAUUUCUAUUUAAAUGUUUAUUCUACAAUGCAAACAUAAUAAUUGGGACAUUAUUACUGAAUUGUAAUAUAUACAGUAUACAUUGCAAAAGUCUUAGGUGCCUUAAUAUUUUUUUCGUGACUUCAUCAUUAUACAAAAAACAUUUUAGAUUUCUGAAGAUUACUUUUCCAACAAAAAAAUAUUUGUAUCUCAGUAAAGACUAUGUGCAAAAACAGAAGCAAGUGCGACAGUCAGAGUCUCCAGAAGAACUGUCACAGAUUCUCCAAGAUGCUUAGAAAAACUAACCUGCCAAUUUCCUUCCUUCCACACCACUUAUAAACGCUUAAUACAAACAUAUAAAUGCAACCUGCACAGGAUUUUCACUAUGUAGACUUCAAAAAUAAGGUCAUAGUUUUUGACCCACCAUUUGCUCUUUUUAUGCUCCUGUCAAUGAAAUGUCUACUUAUGCUCACUUAUGCAAUACAGUCUAUGUAACUGGACAGAAAAUUGGAAACUCUGUAUAAAAGGGCUAUGAUUCCUAUAUGGUUUAUAUCAAAGAAACUAAACGUAUGUCAGUGUUCAGUGUUAAUACUAACUAACUGUGCUGUAUUUAUCCAAUGUUACAGAAGUCCUGUUCUUUACUCAGAUCCUCCAAACAUCAGCCAUGCACUUAUUCUUUUGAAGAGCAGAUGCUUCGUCCUUAUUUCACCUCGGGUGUAUGCUGCAUUGGUAUAGUCUUAUUUUCUUGGUUGACUCUUGAGUUUUGUCCCCCACCCCUUCUUCUUCUUCCUUUUUUCAUUCUUUCUUUUUUCUUUUCAGAGUGAUCUUGGCAAGUUUCCUGUAGAUCCCUUGAUAUAAUUACAGACUUCUUUGAGACACCUUUCAGCUCCUAGACUGAAUUUGGUAGGAGGCACUGAAAUGGAUAGCUUGCUAGUUGUCUGAAAUGAUGUAAGCUAGAUGAUAUUUUACACAAAGGAAGGAAUGACAUUUGUAUUGUUAUGCAAUGUAGAAGUGACCUUGCACAUUUACAGUAACUUACUUAAAGUAAUUUAAUUAAAAAAAUCUUAAACAUGAGAGUUUAAUAUUAUAACAAAUGUAUCAGACAAAAUGUGUUUAUUAAAGCAUCAUUUCAUUUCAGUUUACAUAAACAUAAGAUAUCAAAUUAUACAGCAGGAGCCUGAUGAAUUGAACAAUCAAUAAUUAAGAUAAGAAACAGUUCAAAUGGACAGUGAGCACAACAGAGACAGAAUCAAUGGAUUAAAGUCCACAGAAAAAUAAAGCAAGCUAUAUUAAAUAUAUAUUUAAAAUAUCAGACUAAGUAACAAAUGUUAGAUGCCCAGCUAGACUAACAUUAUCUAGUGCUGCUUAGCUUUACCUCCACUUUAUAUAUGUUGUACUUACCCUGCUUCACUAAAAUAACUGAAGCUGUGCAUUAUUUAAAUCAAAGCUUAGGAUAACAACAUAAAGGAAGAAAUGAAAAAUAGCCAGAUGACAUUCCUCUGCUGCUUCAGGUAAAAUGUUUUUUGUGCCUAGUUUUAAAGCAAAGUUAAUAAUACUGUAUACUAAAUGGUAUAUUACUAAUAUAGCUGCAGCAGGGUUACAGUGUAUACAGUAAGCUCAUUGUUACAAUAGAGUUCGUCAAUGUUGUAAAUAUUUCCCUUAAUAACAGCUCGGUUUUUUAUGGUAGAAUUGACAGAAAUAAUUUACAAUCAUUCACAAAUCAACAGCCUUUGAAAUGUUCUAACAAAAUUGAGAUCAAUUUUAUUAUUAUUAUUAUUAUUAUUAUUAUUAUUAUUAUUAUUAAGCAGAAUCAAUAUGCUAUAUCCUAACUUUAUGCUAAUCCUAAAUAAAUCAAUAUCCUAACUUUUAAGUUAAAAAUUAUUGUUCACCAUUUUAUUGUAAAUCAAUAACAUGCAUAACAUUUAUAACAUAUCUUUUUAAUAUCAGUAUAAACUAUAUAUAUAUCCAUCCAUCUUCUAUACCGCUUAUCCUACAGGAUUGUGGGAAACCUGGAUCACAAGGUGCGUCGGGCACAAGAUGGGAUACACAUUCACUCACCCACUCAUAUACUACGGACAUGCAUGUCUUUGGACUGGGGGAGGAAACCGGAGUACUCAGAGGAAACCCCCACAGCAUGGGGAGAACAUGCAAACUGCUGCGAUGGGAAUCGAACCCCCAUAUUGUGAGGUGAAUGUGCAAAUGUGCUAACCACUAAGCCACCUAAGCCAUUUUUUAUUAUGAUAAAAAAUAUUACCAAAAAAAGGGAAAUCUCGUAAAUAUUUGCAGUUCCAAAAAUACAUUACUUUUCCAAAUCCAUUUCCGAUCUUUGCCAUUUACCAUGGGUUACAGGGGCCGAUAUCUGAUAUGAUUUCUCCGAUAUCUGAUCCUCCAUUUUUUGCUGGUAUUGAUUACUGAUACUGAUCUGUGGCAUCUCUACUUAUAACACCAUUAGCUGUAAGCAAGGCUUGUUGAUGAACAUGUAGGUUUAAUUAAAGUUAGUAUUUCAGAAGGAUAAUACACACUCCUGAUAUGUAACCUAUUCCAAGAUACUACAAACAUAUAAUAAAAUAUAAUUAAUAAAUCACUGAGUCUGUGAAAUUAAACAUUUGCUGUUGCUUCAAUGAUGACAAAUACUGUCAGUAUACUGUGAAUAAAUACUACUGUGAGUAUUGUCAUUUCUUCUUACACUUUUUUGAGCUGAAAUUGUCAGGUUAUCCUGGUAUAUUAUUAUUAUUAUUAUUAUUAUUAUUAUUAUUAUUAUUAUUAUUAUUAUUAGUACUAGUAAGAUAAUUAAUUAUUAUUAUAAUUAAUAUAACGAUAAUUAUAAUUAAAGGAUAUUUUUAAGCAAAGCUUGGAACAUACCUUACAACCAAUCUAAGCUAAGAAUUACUUCCAUAAAGCAAGCUGAGAUGAAUGUACUAUUUAAAACUAUUUAAAUGUUUUCAAAAUUGUUUGGGGCGCCAUCACGUGGUUACUAACUAUACUGCAUUCACUUCUUAGAUUUAGCAGCCUAUAACCUACGUACUGCAAAAUCAUAUUGAGCACAAUUUCUGUCUAUUCGUGGAUGUAUUACUUAUUUGGUUAAUUACUUGUGUGUGGUUGGAUUCGUCAAGCUGGGAAGCAGCGAUGUAUCAGGUAUGAGUUGGAUUUCAUGCGGAUGCAGUCACACUGUUGUCCGAACCGUUGAGACAAGCACAAGGAAUGUUGUUGUCUUUGGUUGACUGCAGGAGUUGUUUUGACAUGGUCUGCCUGCAACUUAAUAACUGUUUCUAGCAGAGCUGCACCAAUAUUGCAAAUCCUUGCAUCAGUGCCUAUUGUUUCUACGGAGUGUGCCCAUACUAAUACUAAGGCUUUGCUCUUCUAAUUACAUUUACAUUUAGCAUGUGCUGUUCAUUUGGCGUCGACUUAUAAGAGAUUCAUAAUCCAAUUUCAUCUGUUCAGGUUGCUGACAGUGAUACAAGCGCCGCAAGACAAAGUUUAGCCACAUCAGCUGACCAGAAACAAUUCGAGAGAGAGAGAGAGAGAGAGAGAGAGAGAGAGAUGGUCCCAGAUCAGUCAGUCAAACUGAAAAUGAUGCAAUACUGCGAGUCCAAGAUAGACAACUUGCAAUAAAGAGUAAUAGCCUAUACUGUACAGGGUAAUAGAAACAUUAUCAUUUUCCUUUUUAGUGAUUACGAGUUUUGUUGCGCAAAAAUAUUAUUAGCCUAUAUUUUAUCGAUCUUUAAAAGACCAUUCAUAAAAAUACCGACUUAGAGACUGACAGGUUGAAGUAUCUCAAUGACUUUGUACAAGUAACUAAUUUUGUUUCUUGAAUAAGGAGAUGGUUGCAUUUUGUUACUUCGUGGUUCAUGACGAAGCGAGUCAAAUAUAUAUUCGUUCAUAUAUCACAUAAAAAUCGUCGACCAAAUGGUGAAAAACAACGCAACUAAUGCAUAUUAAUUGUCUGAUCGGAUCGGAUUGAUAACCGUAAUAUCCAAUAUUAUAAAUUUCAAUAUAAAAUUAGUUUCCAAUGUUAGCUUCGUCUUAUAUUUUAAAUAAGAGUUUUGGUGAAUUAAUUUGUUUUUGCACAGAAUGUCUUUAGUCUGAACGAAUGUGUUCUUCAUAAGUUGGUCUCGCAUUUUAGCUGAAAAUAUGCAGAUCUCUGUUUUUCUCUAUUUUAUUGAUGUUCUGGCCUUUUUUUUCUUUUUAAAAUGUAUACUUUUGUGUAGUAUAUGUAAUUGAUUGAUCAUGUUUACUCUGAACAGCGGAAGCGCUCUCUGAAGACGGUGUGGAAUUGGAGCUGUCCAUGGUGCUGAAUCAUUGACUGGCUCAUACACAGUCCCAUUCCAGCACAAUCUUACCCAGGAACCAUUUAGUGGAAAAUAUCCAGGAACCAUUUAAUGGAAAAUUCAAAUGUUUAAAUUAGUUGCACUGAGAGAAUAAUUAGACUAUUGUGUGAAUCAGAAAAUCUGGCAGUAUAUUUAAAUUUUUUUGUUUUCAAUUUUAAUUCUUAGGAACCAUAUCUAGUUGUGGUAACACACACAUCUGUGCGGAAAAUGUUGCUGGAAACAGUUUUAGUUUUAUUUAUUUAUUAUGUUGCCAUUGAUUCUAAAAAAGUUGAAAAUUACUUUUGUCAUAGUGCUAACAAAACACACAACAACAGCAUAAUAAUAAUAAUAAUAAUAAUAAUAAUAAUAAUAAUAAUAAUAAUAAUAGGUAGGUAACAGUUUAGUAGAAAUUUCAGACCGUUAAUAGCUUGGAGAAUGUGCUUUAUGUGAUCAGAUGCUGUUAAAAUUAAGGGUAGCCGAUUACAGAAAUAUUUUAUCCUCAGUUUAUGCGACAGCUUUAACACAAGGACUGUAUCGCUCCACGAAUGUCAGUAUUGUGAAUGUGCUAACUGGCUGCUGUGAAUCCUAACAUCGUGUUAAUUUACUGUUGGCUGUGACCAAAGGGGGAAAAAAUUAGGAUACCGCUUGUCAUAAUAUAUUUAGGCACUAGAGGGGGCUUGGAUCACGACCGAUCGGUAUUAUAGCACCACGUUUCAUCAACUACGUUUCGUUUUCCUUCAGCCAUUGGCAUUCUAUACCACCAUGUAAGAUUACACCUACUUCGUUGUCGUGAAAUAUAUGGAUUGGUUUUGAUUUAAGAUACUGUUUAUUACAUUUCUACGUGAUUGAGAGAACUGUGAUCUAGAUCUAGAGCUAUGUUUCACCACUGAUUCCAGUCAUUGGGGACGCAUAUGUCUAAAUUACUGAUUAGAUAUCCAAACGGGUGAAUACUAUUUUAAUAAUAUACCUGAUUUCAUCUGUACAGAAACAGUCACAUUUUUCUGUGUUCAAUCUAAAACACGUACAAAGAAAAUAAGGAAUAAAGCAAGCCUUCACAGUAGGCCUGCAGACAGAGUCCCGAGUGUACCAUCUUAGUAUCUAUAUUCAUCAUCAUAACUACCGUUUAGUGUAAAAUUAACGGUAACGAUUAACGACUUAACGAUUACAGGAUGUACCAUAAAUAAACAUGGGCAUGUAUUAACUUGUACUAGACAUUUUUAAGUGCAAGACAAAUUCCACAACUGAUGGACAAGUGUGUGUGUGUGUGUGUGUGUGUGUGUGUGUGUGUGUGUGUGUAGGAGAAUGAGGGAGCGAGCACACCUGUAAAUGUUUAAAUGACAAAACAAACUGCUAUUUUUACAUUCCAAAAAGUAAGCAUUUCAGAAGGACAAAUAUAAGAUAAUUCGAAACGAACGAUAAAAUUCUCCCUGUCUAUCUAUCUUUUUCCGUCUAUACUUUCGCAUCUGUCUGUCUUUGUGUCUUUCAUUUCACACACACACACACACACACACACACACACACACACACACACACACACACACACACACUGUUGAUUAAUAAAAUAUAUAAAUAAAAAUAACAACCAGUGCUCACUUUUAUAUUUUUUUUCCACAGACCACUAAUCCCUUUGAUUAGAUCUAAUACCUGCCAAAACCCAGAUGGCAUGCCCACACAUCGCUCCCUGUGAUAAUGCCAUUGUGGAAUCUACCUAUUAAUAUUAAUUUUCAGUCUCCGCAAAUGUCUGAACUGCUAAGGCUUGAAAUUUCUUCAAAAAGCCAUGGCAUGACUUACCAGGGAUUUUAAAAGAUAAUUCCUAUUCCACCUCUUUUUCCUCGCUUUGAAGUGAGAAUCGCAUCCACUAUCUUGGAUUAAGGUAGUUAAAAGGUUUCCAUUUCUGCUCACGGUAUAAGAUGAGCACCAUAUAGAAUUUCACGUUUUCAUGAUUUUCACGUCUCCAAUUUAACUCCCAGGAUAUUUGUAGACCCUUUAUCUUAAUACAUAGUCUGCUCAAUUCCUAUGUGAUUGAAAAUAGAACUAUUAAGGUAUUUGUCACGGGUUUACAAGCUGCAAAAGGUAGGCCUAAUCACCAUCUUCAGCACACUGAAGUCUCGAAAUAAAAUGGCGACGUGUUCAGGACAACCAUCAAGGCCUUGUUGCUCUAAAUGUGUCAGUGGGUCUGUUUAAAAUCUCCACAUCAAUCUUUAAAUCUACUAUUAAUUUGCGUUCCUGUGUUCAAGGCCAAACAUAAACAAACUAAAGAGCUCUGAUACACUAGACAUUAAUGUAUCAGCGGAAUGUAUUAUGCUUUUAAUGGCUGCCCUUACGUGAAAAUGGUGUUUUUAGAGUUAAAUGUACACGAUGAUUUUUAUGACAAAAAGAUGUCAAGAAAUAAAUAUAAAGGAACAGGGUAUUGCUCCACCCUUAUCCAAGUCUAAAUACAGUUAUUGAGCUGAAAGUGCACUUUGUAAACAAUAAUGUUGUUAAUGAAUAAACAAACAAGGAAACAAACCAAUCAACCAAUAAAUCAAUCCCUCAUACCUUUGCUCAUGAUGUAAGAAUAUUCAUGAACUUGUACACAUUAUCCUACUUAAACACAAAUAUUUUAUGUACUGAGAAAAAUGGUAGUCUAACAACAAUAACAACAACAACAACAACAACAACAAUAAUAAUAAUAA
ensembl:lncRNA